rnacentral:lncRNA from 1 species
CACUAUGGGCUAAAGAAGCAAAAAAGAAAAGAAAAAAAGAGCAUGUAGUAGGAAAGUAUCCCUCAAUCCUCCUUUUACUGUUUCAUCAAGUUCUACUCCUGAAAGUGUUAAUAUUAUACACAUGUUGUUAUUAAUUCCAUACUUGCAAAACAUCUAUAUGAACAUGUUACAACAAAUAAAUUUGGCUUUUCAAUCAAGUUAUUUAAAAUGAGAUUUGAUCUAAUCCAACAUGAAAAAUUCAAUGUGUUUAACUGCCCAAAGACAGAAGUCACAAUCUCCAUGCUAAUUCAAUUGUUAGCAUAUUUAUUCUUCUUAUAUACUGUAACAAUGAGAUUUUUUGCAUUUUAUACAGGUGACAAAUAAAUGUUAUUCAAGUUUCAGUUCAAGUUAUUUAUUUAUGAAACACAGGUCUGAAUCCAUAUGUCAUUUUCUUCCUCUAUAUUCAAAGGAAAAGGUCUGGAUUCUACAAAAAGAACCAAAAGAACUAGUCACUGCCAGAUGGUACGAACGUUAAACCUCCUCACUUUCUUUGAUGGACUGAAGAGUAGUUAAUAGUUCAUUUUUUAAACCUAAUAACUAGGAUUAAUACAUUUAAUACAUUGUAUGACAGAUAACAGUACAUUACUUUUAAUUAUCGUCAGGCACACACACUUUUCAGUGAAAGAAAAUGAGUAACUGUCUUAUUAUUGGAAAUCACACAGGGUAGGCUUUUAGGCAGAGCAAAGUAACUUGCAUUAUUAGAGUAGGAAAUAAAAGCAAUUUUUAGAGCUAUUACCUCAAAUCCUUCCAAAAGAUCUGGAGAAAGAAACAGUAAUUUAUACUCUUUUUCUUAAUACUUAACAACAUGUUCAAAAUUUUAUAACUUAGUAAAAGCCCUUACAUUUCAUUUUAUCUUCACAAGAGCUUUAUAAGGUUGUCAGGUGAGUUAGUAUGUUUACAGUAAACACUAUGACAGAGCAAUGUUUCUUAACAUGGGAUUGGAAAUUGAUCUUUUGACUCAUAGUCCAGGGCUUGCUUUUAUAAUGCAUUUUUUUAAAAAAUCACCUAACACAACUACACUUCCAUAAAUUAUACCCCAUUAACUGGGCCUUUUAGUCAUCUAUUCUGUUCAUGAAAUGACCUAUUUCUGCAUUACUACAAGAGUUCACAUUUUAUUCUUGGUUAAUCUUUGCCAGUUCAACACAAAAUAUGUUACCAAUAUUCUCAAUACCCUUUACAUAAUUUAACCCUCUCACCAAAUGUCCCUCCAUAUUUCAGACUUACAAACUAAUGAAAGCAAAAUAGGUUUAAUAUGAGCUAUUAAAGAAUUACCAUUACCCAUAUUUUGUUAUUUUGCCAAAUUUCAUUCAAUAGCAAGAUACAAAACUAUUUUCUGUAAUAUCUGGAAGAAGGAGGAGGAAUUACAAAGACAUGAAAAUCCUGAGGUGGUAUUUCAGUUGUGAAUAUCUCAUCCUUCUUCAAUUCAAGGCUUCACAAAGCUUGGUCCCUAACCUUGACCUCAUUGCUUGGUAUUAACACAGGGGCAAGUGAUGAAUUUCCGUAGCUUAAGGGAACUAUGAGUUUCCUCACGUGCUAAAUCAGAUUAUUAACAAGCAAGCACUCAAUUUAGUUCGGAGGGCUGAUAUUAAGCACUUUAACUCAUUACCAGCCACCUCCAUCCAGAAAAAGGAAGAAGUUCCACAAAAGCUAUUUGCCCUCGUUAUUCAUUCAAAACCUAUUCCUCCGCCUCCUCAAAACCUCUGACAAAUUCCUGCCGCCUCUGUUUCUGCACCAGAGCCUCCUUUGAUUUCUAAGAAGGACAGGGGAAGGUUCAGAAGUCUUCUCAAACCAAUACCGCGACUCCUGACUCUUGCCAAAGCGGCCUCACGUACCCUGAUUCUAGGAAGGCAGUGGCUACAAGGAAAACAACAAACAAACAAAAAACCCAAGCUGCUGGCGCCUACCAAUUGGCGUUAGAGCCCUCACCCCUCCACAACUAGACCUAAAUAGUUACUACCCGGCCCUGCGCUUCACCCCUUCCGAGAAUCAGCUUUUCAGACAGGAAAGGAUACUUUCUAUAUUCGACAUGGUUCCACGACUGUUCUUGAGAGGCGAGAGUCAGGGUCAGCGGCAUGGAUCAGAUAGCUGGGAGCUCUCAGCGGGGUUCUAGUCGGGAGGUGUGUCCUGCCAGUCU